AUAAAUUUGACUGAUUAUUUAUUACCACUAUUAUUAUUAUUUAUUUUCUUCGUAAAUGACAAUUAUGAGUAAUUUUCUGCAAUAAUGUCGCUUCAAAGAAAUUAGGUAAUGUUCCCUUAAAAAUAUAUACAUGAUCCUCGGUCAAACCAGAAAUAAAAAUUUGAAUUAUAGGUUUUUGAAUAAAUAUAUUCCUUCUUUAGAAUCAUAAAUUUGUUCGUACAAGUAUACAAGUACAAGUAUAAAUCAAAGAUUAUUUAUCUAAAAAUAUAAAAAUAGUUCUACAGCAAAAACAAUUUUUUAUAUUAAAACGCGCAUUCUGCAAUUUGUAACUUAAAUCCUUUUAAAAAUUUUAUUGUCGAUUUUGAAAAUGCCUGUUAUACAUUAUAAUUUGAAAAUUGCGCGUGCAAAUUCGUUGUCUCCGUUUUUACGAUAAAUAUUUAUGUAACAAUCGACAAGAACUAUGUAACUCGCAGUUCCUACGCAUUGUCUCCUAAUGGAAAAUUUAUAAUUAAUGCUCGAUCUUUCUAACGUUGUUCUGAUAGGAGACGUAGCCUAUUUUCAUCUAGGUACUUUAAUAAACAGAAUACCAGGCUUUAUGACACCAAAACUCAGGAAUUGUUCAUCAACGAGAAUUCAAUUCUGUAAAGAUUACAGUUUGACGUAACACGUUCUGUUACAAAGAGUAAUGAAUAUCUUGAAGACAAACUUUAAAAAACUCCGACGAAAGUUUAAAAAUAUACAAUAAGACAAAGUUAUACAACUUUUAGAUGAGAAAAUGCACUAUGUUAAAAAAUAAUUUUUGUAUACCAUUUAUUUCUAUAUUAUAUCACCUUGUAUACGUAUCGUAUUCAUGAAUUGUAAUAAAAAUAUUUGUCAAAGUUU